GACAGCGGGGGCAAGCGUUGCUCGGAAUUACUGGGCGUAAAGGGCGCGUAGGCGGGAUGGCAAGUCGGUCGUGAAAUCCCUCGGCUCAACCGAGGAACGUCGAUCGAUACUGCUGUUCUUGAGGAUUGCAGAGGAGACUGGAAUUCCCGGUGUAGCGGUGAAAUGUGUAGAGAUCGGGAGGAACACCGGUGGCGAAGGCGGGUCUCUGGGCAAUUCCUGACGCUGAGAAGCGAAAGCAUGGGGAGCGAACAGG
rnacentral:rRNA from 1 species